rnacentral:rRNA from 1 species
UACGUAGGGUGCAAGCGUUAAUCGGAAUUACUGGGCGUAAAGCGUGCGCAGGCGGUGAUGUAAGACAGGUGUGAAAUCCCCGGGCUUAACCUGGGAACUGCAUUGUGACUGCAUCGCUGGAGUGCGGCAGAGGGGGGUAGAAUUCCACGUGUAGCAGUGAAAUGCGUAGAGAUGUGGAGGAACACCGAUGGCGAAGGCAGCCCCCUGGGUCAAGAUUGACGCUCAUGCACGAAAGCGUGGGGAGCAAACGAGG